rnacentral:rRNA from 1 species
UACGGAGGAUGCAAGCGUUAUCCGGAUUUAUUGGGCGUAAAGCGUCCGCAGGUGGUUUAUCAAGUCUGCUGUCAAAGCGCGGAGCUUAACUCCGUAAAGGCGGUGGAAACUGAUGGACUAGAGUCUGGUAGGGGUCACGGGAAUUCCCAGUGUAGCGGUGAAAUGCGUAGAUAUUGGGAAGAACACCGGCGGCGAAAGCGCGUGACUGGACCGGAACUGACACUGAGGGACGAAAGCUAGGGGAG